UUCAACUGUAUUGUUUUUCUCUUUGAGUUGAUUAUACUAAUUACAAAAGCAUACUUUAUGGUACAAAUUAAAAAGCAUGCAUCAUCACUUUGCAAUAACUUUUUCUCAAGUUUCAUUACUCUAGUCACAUGCAUUUUCUAUAAAACCCUCUUCCUGUAUCUUCAACAACUUAUGAUCACCAUCUAUACCCUGAAUCAUGGCUAACAAUAAUAGCAAAGACGGGCCAUUAUAUCAAGAAGAAGGUCUUCUGUGUAAGGGAUCACCCACCGCUACUAUACGGUAUAGUAAGAAGAUUUGGUGAACAUGUUCUUCGGACGAGAAGAGAGAUCGAGAUUUUGACCAACUUGAAAGCGUCUGCAGGUGGUCAACGG